rnacentral:rRNA from 1 species
AGUAGCCGCGGUAAUACGGAGGGUGCAAGCGUUAAUCGGAAUUACUGGGCGUAAAGCGCACGCAGGCGGUCUGACAAGUCAGAUGUGAAAUCCCCGGGCUUAACCUGGGAACUGCAUUUGAAACUGUCAGGCUGGAGUCUUGUAGAGGGGGGUGGAAUUCCAGGUGUAGCGGUGAAAUGCGUAGAGAUCUGGAGGAAUACCGGUGGCGAAGGCGGCCCCCUGGACAAAGACUGACGCUCAGGUGCGAAAGCGUGGGGAGCAAACAGGAUUAGAUACCCGCGUAGUCCCUGUCUCUUAUACC